AAAAUUUGGAUAAUUUUUUAUACGAAUUAUAAAGUUCAGGCACCAACCAUUAAGUGCUUUGCCAUCCGCACCAGAAACGUUCGGUAUCUACAAAAUUCAAAUCUGAUCAUCUGCUUCGAUGUAACAUUGAAAAAAAAAAUGAGAACCUUCUCCAAAAUUCAUAGAAGGUAAUAAACUUUUUCGAGCCAUCCAGGCUCUCAAUUCAAACUAUUAUUGUUCUCACAUAAAACUUAGAAAAGAAGUUGUACUAUUCUUAGCAAGCGAUGUGUCUUAACACUGAUCCUUAUAUUCAAAAUUUCAACCACAAACUAAAACUAUAGAUUUAAAAUAAAAUAAAAUCAAAACUAAU
rnacentral:lncRNA from 1 species